rnacentral:rRNA from 1 species
UACAGAGGUUGCAAGCGUUAAUCGGAUUUACUGGGCGUAAAGCGUGUGUAGGUGGUUAUACAAGUCGGUUGUGAAAUCCCCGGGCUUAACCUGGGAACUGCUUCCGAGACUGCAUGACUAGAGAUCGGUAGAGGGCGGUGGAAUUUCCGGUGUAGCGGUGAAAUGCGUAGAUAUCGGAAGGAGCACCAAUGGCGAAGGCAGCCGCCUGGGCCUGAUCUGACACUGAGACACGAAAGCGUGGGGAUCAAACAGG